rnacentral:rRNA from 1 species
GACGUAGGGCGCGAGCGUUGUCCGGAUUUAUUGGGCGUAAAGAGCUCGUAGGCGGUUUGUCGCGUCGUCCGUGAAAACUCACAGCUUAACUGUGAGCUUGCGGUCGAUACGGGCAGGCUAGAUGUUCGGUAGGGGAGACUGGAAUUCCUGGUGUAGCGAUGAAAUGCGCAGAUAUCAGGAGGAACACCGGUGGCGAAGGCGGGUCUCUGGGCCGAUACUGACGCUGAGGAGCGAAAGCGUGGGGAGCGAACAGG